rnacentral:rRNA from 1 species
GGAAUUCAGCGUGUGCGGAGGGUCCGGGAAUCGGGCCGGGGAUCUUCGGACCCCGCCCAGCUCUCGACUGGGCCCGACGCCGCGUGCACUUUCCGCGGGCAGAGCGCCACGACCGGUUUCGCGGCGGCGAUAAGCCCGUUGCGGAUGCGUGGCACGAUCUCACGGUCGUGCUACGGCCGCUCGCGGUGAGCCGCUGUCGGGACCGAGGAACGGCCGCGUGCUUCGAGGCUGCCCGGCCUCGCUGGGGAGUUCGACUGGCAGGGACUGGGUAACCGUGCCUGCCGACUGCUCCCCGGUGCCGGUUCGGGACAGCCGGGCGCGUC